AAACGACUCUCGGCAACGGAAUAUUUGGGCUCUUCGCAUCGAUAAAGAACGUAGCGAAAUGCGAUACUUGGUGUGAAUUCCAGAAUCCCGUAAACCAUCGAGUCUUUGAACGCAAGUUGCGCCCCAAGCCUUCUGGCCGAGGGCACGUCUGCCUGGG
rnacentral:rRNA from 1 species